UCCUACGGGAGGCAGCAGUAGGGAAUCUUCCGCAAUGGACGAAAGUCUGACGGAGCAACGCCGCGUGAGUGAUGAAGGCUUUCGGGUCGUAAAACUCUGUUGUUAGGGAAGAACAAGUGCUAGUUGAAUAAGCUGGCACCUUGACGGUACCUAACCAGAAAGCCACGGCUAACUACGUGCCAGCAGCCGCGGUAAUACGUAGGUGGCAAGCGUUAUCCGGAAUUAUUGGGCGUAAAGCGCGCGCAGGUGGUUUCUUAAGUCUGAUGUGAAAGCCCACGGCUCAACCGUGGAGGGUCAUUGGAAACUGGGAGACUUGAGUGCAGAAGAGGAAAGUGGAAUUCCAUGUGUAGCGGUGAAAUGCGUAGAGAUAUGGAGGAACACCAGUGGCGAAGGCGACUUUCUGGUCUGUAACUGACACUGAGGCGCGAAAGCGUGGGGAGCAAACAGGAUUAGAUACCCUGGUAGUCCACGCCGUAAACGAUGAGUGCUAAGUGUUAGAGGGUUUCCGCCCUUUAGUGCUGAAGUUAACGCAUUAAGCACUCCGCCUGGGGAGUACGGCCGCAGGGCUGAAACUCAAAUGAAUU
rnacentral:rRNA from 1 species